rnacentral:lncRNA from 1 species
CCACCGGGCACUUGUUGUUAAUAGGCUUCCUAGGGAGUGCACCAACUUCAGCAGUUAAAGGACCAAUUCGAGCCCCCUCCUUUAGCAGUUUUAGAGUUUAAAUUAAUUACUCGUUGAGAGUGUUUCAGAUUAAAAUAAAUUGCUGAAUUUAUUCUAGCAAAAAAGUAGUCAAAUUUUACAAUUAAAUUUAAAAAGAGUAAUACCUGACUCAUGUUUUACAUCAAAUCAAAAAAAUUAAUUGCACUUAACUCAAUUCAUUAAACAUGACGGUCUUUUUCUUAUAAAUAUGAGUCCUCGAAUUAUAUUUUGAUCUCAUUGUUUUCUUUAAGGUUUAAUCUUUUUAGAGCUUUGCUUGUCAUAAAUUAAAGAGUGUUUUAUCUUUGUUGAAAAGUAUACUUUUUAUGUGAGUGUGGAGCUUAAAUUGAUGUUUUGUCGUUGGGUUUUCUAAACGCAUGUGUAGUAUUUGGUUGUUAAUUAUAAUCUUUUGCACUGGAUUUGGUCUAUUUUCUCUUUUGUCUUACAUGUUUUUCCAUAGAAGAAUAUGAUGCAGUCCAACACUAGUUAAUAUGAAACAUUGUUUUAUGUUUAAUUCUUUGUCGACAUGCUCAUAAAUUUAAAACAAUAUGAUUAUACGAGGAUUUUUCUACUAUGAGUGUGAAGUAAAUGAAAGCAUCUUGGUCAUUCCCAAGUUAUAUGGAUCUCACAUAUAUAGUUGCAAACAUGAAUGAAAGUCCCAUCUAACUUCACAAAUAUGACUUUUCUAUUUAGUAGAUCCAUAGAUUUCUCUCUCAAGGUCCCAUCUAACUUCACAAAUCAUAAGCUUCCAACACACGGAGUAUUGCUAUAGUGCUAAAAUUCUCAGCCUUAACAUAUGAAAGUCAUGAGUCCACCUUAGAUAUAUAUUAACCAAAUUAUUAAACUUAUAAUGAUGGGCAUAUAAACACACACCUCAUCAACCAUCCAACACCAUGAACACUAUAAAUAGAGUCCAGUGAUUUCUUAUUUUCAUACAAACUCACUUGAGCCUCCACUUUUACACUUAUAGGUUUAGUUAUUAAUUGAAGAAACGUACACAAGCUACCAUCAUCAUUUUUCAUAUCAUGACACCGAAAAAUUGUUCCUAUGCUAUUUUCCUUACCCUCAACAUUCUAUUCUUUGCUAUUGUAUCUGCAAAUGGUAAUUGCCCAACCCCGCCGAAACCGAAACCAACCCCACCGAAACCAAAACCAUGCCCAACCCCGUCAAAUGGUAAAUGCCCAACCCCACCGAAACCAAAACCAACCCCACCAAAACCAAAACCAUGCCCAACCCCACCAAAUGGUAAAUGCCCAACCCCACCGAAGCCAAAACCAACCCCUAAACCAACACCUUCACGCAAAUCUUGUCCGCGUGACACAAUCAAACUUGGUGGAUGCUCCAGUGUGUUAAAUGGGAUGUUCAACUUUUCUAUGGGUGUUCCAAAUAGCCAAUGUUGCGGUUUCCUUGACGGUUUAGUUGACUAUGACUUUGCAAUUUGCAUUUGUACGGCUCUAAAAGCAAACAUUAUGGGCAUAAUAGUAAACAUUCCAAUUUCAUUUACCCAGCUUAUCAAUUUUUGCUCAAGGCAAGCCCCAAGCGGUUUUGAAUGUUUGCCAGAUGUUCAUUAAGUAUCUAUCUGCAACGUUAGUAGUAGUAUUAUCUAUAUUUUCUAUGUCUUAAUUUGCUUAGAGUUUCGUUGUCUUUUCGAACUUUUUUUUUUAUUAUCAAUUAUUGUUAUUAGAUGGGUGAUUAUUAAUUACUCAUCAUUCAUUUCCUUUCUUUACAAGCUUAUGUAAUAACUUUUAUUGAAAUAGAAGGUUGAUUUUUAUUCAGUUGUGAAAUGAAUCAAUUUAGUUGUCUUUUUAUCUAAUAAUAAUGAAAGGUUGUUCUAUAGGUCCCUCAAGAUGCUCACUUCCCUCUCGAGUCCUGACUCUUGAUCCCUCAAGUUCAGUAGUUUAAAUUGGAUAUGUCCUCAAUUUCGUUUAAGAUUUCAUCGGUAGUUAUGGUCGAAAGGAUCGAGAGUUAGAAUAUGAUAUGUUCAUGAUCUAACUUAGGGAAAUUUUACGGUACCAAGCACAUGGUUCAAUAACCACUCAUAUUUUUAACAACAAUAUCCAAAACACAUAAUUCAACAACAAUACACGAGAGAGUUUAUAAUUUAUUCACAAGCAAUAUGGAUCUCGCAUAUACAGUUUCAACGAUAAUCGUACAUUCAUUCUUGCUAAGAGAGUUUCACAUUUAUAGUUUAGAUUUAUUAUGACCCAUAGUUCAACUUGGUUUUGGUUUGAUAUGGUGACAUAAUUUGUUUCACACUCUUUCCGAUACAAUUUCAGAUUAUAUAAGCGUUGUUGAUACACUCCAUUAACAAAUGAAAGUGUUUGAAGUAAAUUAAAGUAUGAAAUUCGUUUAUAUAUUGAGUUCUAGAUUUUUUAUUUUAAAUGGAAAAAUAAGGACAUGAAAUGUAGGUAAUGUUACCUUUGUCUUGAUAGGUAUACAAAGGAAAUUACUGGGUUCUUUAAAAAAAGAGGAUAUUAUUGGGUUGUGUUCCAUUGUUUUUUGUUUGUUUCUAAAGCAACUUUAAUUAAUCUGCAGAUAAAUAAUAUUUAUGGAAAUUUCAUUUAAUUUACAUCUCAUCAAUUAACUUUUUAAAAAAUAAAUAAAUAUUUGAAGACCAAUUUUUAAUGUUUUGUCUUCAAUUGUUUUUUAUGCUCUUUUGCUUGUAUCUUAAUAAAAAUAAUAAUUUUAAGAAUACAAAGUUCUGAGACGCUCAACUAGGGUUCAUAGCAUGAGCUUCACUUGAAUUACGUUUUGUAUCCAAUUUUGGAUCUAGUAGCUUACUACAUUUACAAUUGGAUCCAAUAGCUUUCAUCCAUGCAUUUGUUCGGUGUUGAUUUCUAUCUCAAGUCAAAUCCAAUCGUCGGAAGCAUUCAAUUGACAUUUUGUGGUCCAUCGAUUUUGUAUGCAACUCGUUUGUGAAAUUCAUUGUAUACAAAGGUUUAACACGUGAAAGACGUACACGGCUAGGCAUGGCAUACGCAUGCCCUUAGCCACAUGAGGUUGACGAUACAGUACCGUCACAACAUUAGCAAUUUUUGUUUGCUCUCGGGCCUUAACGACUUUUAAUUCAAUCUCAUUUGUGGUUCAAUCAAAAUAACACAGGCUGCGUACGAUAAAGGAGUAGAGUCUUGCAAAUACAAUUUGCAAGGACAGCUUGUGUUACACAGGCUGCCACACCAUGUCAUGGUCAGGUCCGUCCCUGGCUCACGUUGCAAAAAUAUUGGACACAAUAUUUCUAUUUGUCGUUGGUUGUACCCUCAACAAAGUGGAAAGGUUAAUAAAGAAAGAAUUGACAAGAUAAAUAAAGGCAAGAAACCAGGCAAGCAAAAGAUAACCCUGCAUGCAUAGGUUUUUCGAAAGCAAUUAAGACACCAUUUGCUCGAAAUGUUCACCUCCAGUCAAUGAACAUAUAGUUGUGCAAUCUGAAUUAACAGUAACAGGUGAUUUUCAACCACGUACUGAUGAAGCACGACUAGCAAUAUAAGAUGAGCAACCAAGCAUGAAAGGUUGCGUAACAAGUGAUAGAUGAGACACAUAUAGUUUCUCAUGCUGCACCACUGCCCCUUAUGAACACUGAUAAGUCUAUCACAUCUUUUCAUUUAGCGCUACAAAAUGUCACAUAUGAGAUUGAGAGAACAACAAAUACUGAGAAAAAAUUCCCGAGUUUGGAAUUGGUAACCGUUAAUGAACAUAUGGAUGCUUCAGAUUCGGCAUAAAAUGUAUCAAAUGAUAGCGCAGAAGUCAAUGUUAAAGCUUCUAUUGGUCAUUCUUCGUCCAUUGCAAUCAUUUGUCUGCAACUUCAGAAGGAACUUGAUCUUGUAAACGAAUAUCUUAUUAUCUGACGAAGAAGCAGAAUAAACAGCGCUCCAAAAUCACCUCCCACAACACUCAGUCCAAGGGUGAACUCAAGUGUUGAGCUGCACGUUUUCUUUUAGGGUCAUUUUUCUUUCAUUUUUCUUUUAUGUAUUUUGUCGGUCAAAGAAUGUAUUAAAUAGUAUUCAUUACUCCCUCCGUUCCUUUUUAAGUGUCACUUUUGGAGAUUUUUUUGUUCCUAUUUAAGUGUCACUUUACAUAGUUCAAUGCAACAUUAAAUGUUAUUUUACUAAUAUUACCCUUAUUUAUUAUUGUGGAGAGAGAAAUACUCCCUCCGUCCCUAUAUAUAAGACCCUUUUGCCAAAAUCACGGGAAUUAAGAUAGUGGAUAUUUGUAUUAAAGUUGUUUGUAAUCACUAUUGUUUUUACAAUUUUAUCCUUUAAGAAAUAAGGUUAGUUUAUAUUUUCAACAUGUUAUUUAUUGUUGAUUGAAGAAAAAGAUGUAUAAUAAAUAGGGGCAUGUAUGUAAAGAAAUAAUUAAUGUAGUUGAAAAUAACAAAGGGGUCUUAUAAAAAUGGACAAAAAAAAUUCUCAAAAGAGUCUUAUAAUUAGGGACGGAAGGAGUAUAUGUAAUGAGAUAUUAAAUAAAUAAGGUUAUUAUAGUAAAAAUAGAAAUUAUUGUAUCAAAAGUAGCAACAUUUAUUGAUUGUUUUGGUUUAUAUAAAACGUCAAAAUGUGAUAAUUAAAAAUAAAUGGAGGUAGUAUUUAUCGAUGCUUAUUACCACCGGUAGUAGUUCUUUCGGCAAAAAAAUAAAAAUGGUAAUAAUGUAAGGGAUAAGCAUGAAUACUUUCACAUUUUCCAAAUAAAAUUUAAAUAGUGUCUAACGUUUCUAAAUUACUCAAUAUUAAGAAUUGUACAUACAUUACCCUCCCAACUUUGUUUAUGAAACCACUCACUCAAAGUUCAAACUUAAUAACAUAACUCCUUUUCUUUUUCUUUUUCUUUUUCAUGUUCUUUUUUUUUUCUUUCUACUUUCCAAUCUCUCUUCUCCUUUUUUUUCUUCACAUCUAACAUCUCUAAUUUGGGUGUUGAAUAGAAGAAAGUCUAUAUAUAUAUAUAUAUAUAUAUAUAUAUAUAUAUAUAUAUAUAUAUAUAUAUAUAUAUAUAUAUAUAUAUAUAUAUAUGUGUGUGUGUGUGUGACAAUGCAAGAAAAAACUGGAUCAACCUCUAGAACCGAUCAAACCGUCGGUUCUCCCGGUUUUUUUUCGGUUGUUGUCCGAUUUUCCGAUUCAUGCCCUGGUUUAAUAGGUGAGCGGUUUUCAGGACUAAACAGACCAGAUGCAGGUUCGGUUUACGGUUGAACUGGCCGGUCCAGUCCAAUUUUAACUACCUUAAUAUUAAAAAAAAAUAAAGGAUAAAAAGUUCUUCCAAAGGGUCGAAAUAAAUACUAAUAUUUUUUAUCAGAGCAAUGUUUGAUCAUAUAAAUUCUUAAAUGAAGUUGUUUGACUCCCAAUACCAACAAACAAUAGUAAAAUAGGAUGUGUGAUUUCACAAAAAUAUUGUGUAGUUUUUUUUUUUUUUGGUUACAUAGCUAAUAUAUAUUAUUAUAUUAAUAUUGUGCAGUUUGAUGGUAAGAGAAUAACAAAUGAUAAAUUAUAAAUAAAUAAAAGGCUAAAGUGAACUUUUGGACUCUUAAGUUUUAAAAUAUUGUGAUUUUAAACCCCUAUUAAUUUGAAAACUUUGGCCCCUCAUAAUUUAACCCCUUUGCAAAAGUCAUCCUUUUAUUAAUUUUGACCAAAUCAGUGCACACAAACUAGUGAGUAAAUGCCAAAUCUGUAUUUUUCAAUUAAAAAAUUAAAAAAGCCACGCUUGUAUAUAUUGAAUUAAAAAAAACAAAGCAAAAAGAAAAAUGCACGUGUACUCUCUUUACCUCAUUCUUUUCCAUCAGAACCACCACCCAUCUCUUUCAUCUUCUUCCCUUCUUCCUGCAAAUUCAACUUUCAAGCACACCACUAUCCGUUUUGCUUCAUCAUCAUCUUUUUCUUUCACUUGAGGUCUUAAUUUCUUCAAUUUCUCACCCAAUUUCUUUCAAGCACACUACUACCCAAUUUCUUCAAUCUCAAUUCCUUUCAUUGGAGG